UACAGAGGUCCCGAGCGUUGUUCGGAUUCAUUGGGUGUAAAGGGUGCGUAGGCGGGUCUUUAAGUCAGGGGUGAAAUCCUGGAGCUCAACUCCAGAACUGCCUUUGAUACUGAGGAUCUUGAGUUCGGGAGAGGUGAGUGGAACUGCGAGUGUAGAGGUGAAAUUCGUAGAUAUUCGCAAGAACACCAGUGGCGAAGGCGGCUCACUGGCCCGAUACUGACGCUGAGGCACGAAAGCGUGGGGAGCAAACAGG
rnacentral:rRNA from 1 species